AUUAAAAAUUCAUAAUUAAUUACUAUCUUAUAUCCAAACACAUUAAAUUUUAAAUAAGAUGUACUACUAUAUUGUUUAUUUAUUUUAAAUAGAAUGUACUACUAUAUUAUUUAUUUACUACCCUCGUAAUAAUUACAUUGUUACUUAUCAACACAGCCUAAAUAAUAUUCCUUGAAUAUAUCAUAUAUUUUCUCCACCUUUUGGUCCUCAUCCUCAUCUCCUCCAUUUAUUCUUUUCUUUCAAAUAACAAACCUUCAAGUUUUGGGACAUAAUUUUUAAGGAGGAGCUUCUAAUUUUAUCUAUAAUUUCCUUGAGUGGAGGUUUCAAAAAUCUAGUUAGGUUGGAGGACAAUCACAUAUUAUCAAAUGGCUUGGGAAAGCCAAAGUUAGCAAAUUCAGGAAGCUGGUUUACACAGUUGCAGCCUUGUCUACAACAUUUGGUUGCUGAGAAACAAGCUAUUCUGGAAAAAAGAAGAGCAUAACCAUGUCACCAUGAUCAAAUAGCUAAAAUCGGAUUUGAAGCUCAUAAUUGAGAUGUUUUGGCCUAAAAAAGUUUCGGAUGAAGACAGUAGGUGGUUUCAAACACUGUAAAUAAAAUGUAACUAAAAGAUAUAGCUGUAAAAAUGUAAAGUUGAUUAUUUUAGGCCCUUAUUGGGUGCUAUUUGGGUGUAUGCAAACUGUUUUUUGUGCUAAUACAAUUUUUGAUUCAUAAAAAAAAAAUUAGAUACUAGCACUUUGCAACUUGAAAUUGCUUCUCCAUUAGAUACUGGUACUUCACAACUUGAAAACGCUCCCCCCUCCUCCUGUAAUUAUUCCAGAUCAUCUUAAGAUUGUGGAUCCUCCUCGUCGCUAUCCUUAAUACAUUCGUAAGCUCUACUGACCAACCAAAUUUUACAUACUCUUCUUAUUCUGCUUCUUUUACUUUGUUUUUGGUAUCUAUUCAUUGUCUUUUCUGAGCCUUUGUCCUAUAGAGAGGCAGUUAUUAACCCUCUUUGGCAGCGUGCUAUGAAUAAGGAACUCUAUGCUUUGCAAAAGACUCAUACUUGGGAUUUGGUACUUUUGUCUCCUAGUAAACAUGCUAUUGGUUCUCGCUGGGUGUAUAAAAUCAAGACCAAGUUUGAUGGGUCUAUUGAACAGUACAAGGCUCGAUUAGUGGCUAAUGAUUUUUCACAACAGUAUGAUAUAGACUUUGAGAAAACUUUUUCUCCUGUUGCAAAAAUGACUAUUAUUCGCACUCUUAUAGCAAUGGAUCAAUAGACUAUAUCUCAAAUAGAUGUUAAGAAUGUCUUUCUGAAUGGUGACUUACAUGAAGAGGUCUACAUGGUUCCUCCUCUUGGUGUGCCUCAUAAGUAAGGAGAGGUUUGCAAGCUAAAAAGAGCCUUGUAUGGUCUUAAUUAGGCCCCCCGAGCAUGAUUUCAAAAAAUUUCUACUGUUAUUUUUGUUUCUUGGUUUUGCUUAGAGAGACUUUUCUAGUUUUUGUAAAAAAAAUUACAGUAUCCCGAACAUUGUAAACAUUUUGGUUUAAAGUUUAUGAAACAAGUUUAUUUUUA